rnacentral:lncRNA from 1 species
GUGAAGCUGAUCAGGGUGUGACAGUGGGUUAGGGGUUAAAGGGAAACUUCACCGCUAAACACUACUAUUUGGAAUGUUUUUUCAGUCUCCCUACAUAAUUAUGAGUGAUGAGAGGUGUUUCAGACAUAAUUAUGCACCAUGGUAGUAUUUUAGAAUUCAGCCAAUGACGUCAUUGGUUGAUUGAGCCUGCUGUCUGAUCUAAAAUUGAAUGGAGUCAUGUUUUGUAGCAAUUAUGCUGGCCUCUGUGUGUCGCCAAUUGCACAAUCACACUAGCAGUGCAUCAAUAUGGUUGUCCGUGUUCAAUAGAGCCACAACAUGCAGACUGCAGCCUGAUAGCUGUAAGAAGGCAGGCUUUUCAAAAUGGGGCGGACAGUUCUUACUGAAGAGGGUCACAGCAGACCCUAUGGAUCGUGUGUCUGUGACAGACCAUCAAAGUUUCGAUGCAGAUAUGGAGAGGUGUGUUGGAGACAUUCAUCAGAACCUCCAUGAUCAACUGGCGGUGGCAGCCUAGACCAGCUUGACCAGGAGGUUAAAUGACAAACGAGCAAUACCGUUCGGUGGCCUACGGAAUCUGUUUGGAGUUAGUUCUAUGUGGGGAGAAACUAGGCACAGGACACCGAAUCCCCUUGCCUGUGUGUGUUGUUGGGGCCAUUUAUCCCUCACAAGUUGGACAGUAUGUUGGACAGUAUGUUGGAUACAAAUAAGUUGGUUGAUGACUCAAGAGGAGAUGUGAAAUCUCCCGUUGUAUCAAAGUGACUCCAAACACCUCACUGCACCUACGAAACACAUCAUAUGCAAGUAUUCCCUUUGUAGAACUGUAGUAUUUAUUAUAGGCGUUAGUAGUAUAUUUGGUCAUAACUGUUCCUGCAUACUGCUGUGUUAAUUCACCUCGGUCUCCUGAGCAAAUUAACUUUAUCUUGAAUACAAUCCAUCUAUUUAUUUGCUACUGUUUUAUUGAAAUAUGUUUACUUGCCAAGAAAUAAAAGCUGAAAUGAUAAACCAACUCCCUGCAUAAUUUGUUUUAGCAAUAAGAUUGUAGCUACAGUGCCUUCAGAAUGUAUUCACACACCUUGACUUUUUCCACAUUUUGUUGUUACAGCCUGAAUUUAAAAUUGAAUAAAUGUCAUGUUUUUUCACUGGCCUACACAGAAUACCGCAAAAUGUCAAAGUGUAAUUAGGUUUUUUGAAUUGUUUACAAAUGAAUAAAAAAUGAAAAGCGGAAA